GGAUGUGAGGGCGAUCUGGCCACAACAUCUGUCAUCCCACUGAUCACCAGCGUUGGUUCAGCUGAUCUGGCUGGCUAGGUGGGUGUCCUUCCUCCUUACCGCUCUAUGUGCGUCCCUUCUGAAGCUGAGAGCUCCAUCGAAGAGGAUGACCUUCCCUGCUAGAGGAGGACCGUUCUUCAGUCAAGCGUAUACGAGUAGCUGCGCUCCCCUGCUAGAACCUCCAAACAAGCUCUCACGAAGGCAAAAAUGCCGCCUACUCAAUAGGAGAAAGUAUUUGGAAAUCACAUAUCUGACAAGGAAUUAAUAUACAGAAAU
rnacentral:snRNA from 1 species